GACAGAGGGUGCAAACGUUGUUCGGAAUUACUGGGCGUAAAGCGAGUGUAGGCGGUGUGGUAAGUCGGAUGUGAAAGCCCCGGGCUCAACCCGGGAAGUGCACUCGAUACUGCCACGCUAGAGUAUCGGAGAGGUUGGUGGAAUUCUCGGUGUAGAGGUGAAAUUCGUAGAUAUCGAGAGGAACACCGGUGGCGAAGGCGGCCAACUGGACGAAUACUGACGCUGAGACUCGAAAGCGUGGGGGGAGCAAACAGG
rnacentral:rRNA from 1 species